UACGUAGGGGGCGAGCGUUGUCCGGAAUUAUUGGGCGUAAAGAGCGUGUAGGCGGUUCGGUAAGUCUGCCGUGAAAACCUGGGGCUCAACCCUGGGCGUGCGGUGGAUACUGCCGGGCUAGAGGGUGAUAGAGGCGAGUGGAAUUCCCGGUGUAGCGGUGAAAUGCGCAGAUAUCAGGAAGAACACCUAUGGCGAAGGCAGCUCUCUGGGACGGUACUGACGCUGAGACGCGAAAGCGUGGGGAGCGAACAGG
rnacentral:rRNA from 1 species